rnacentral:rRNA from 1 species
GAUGAACGCUGGCUGUGUGCCUAAUACAUGCAUGUCGAGCGAAGCACUUUUGUGCUUAGCGGCGAAUGGGUGAGUAACACGUACUUAACCUACCCUCAAGAUUGGGACAACACUUGGAAACGAGUGCUAAUACCAAAUACGUAUUUUUAUCGCAUGAUAGAUAUAUAAGAGGAGCUUCGGCUUCACUAGAGGAUGGGAGUGCGCUACAUUAGUUAGUUGGUAGGGUAAUGGCCUACCAAGACUAUGAUGUAUAGCGGGGCCGAGAGGCUGAUCCGCCACACUGGGACUGAGAUACGGCCCAGACUCCUACGGGAGGCAGCAGUAGGGAAUUUUCCACAAUGAACGAAAGUUUGAUGGAGCGACACAGCGUGCAGGAUGAAGGUCUUCGGAUUGUAAACUGCUGUUAUAAGAGAAGAAAAACCCUGGUAGGUAAUGACCAGGACUUGACGGUACCUUAUCAGAAAGCGACGGCUAACUAUGUGCCAGCAGCCGCGGUAAUACAUAGGUCGCAAGCGUUAUCCGGAAUUAUUGGGCGUAAAGAGUUCGUAGGUGGUUUUGUAAGUCUGAAGUUAAAUACCGGGGCUCAACCCCGGCCCGCUUUGGAUACUGCAAAACUAGAGUAAUAGAGAGGUUAGUGGAACUCCAAGUGAAGCGGUGGAAUGCGUAGAUAUUUGGAAGAACACCAAUGGCGAAGGCAACUAACUGGAUAUUAACUGACACUGAGGAACGAAAGCGUGGGUAGCAAACAGG